rnacentral:lncRNA from 1 species
CUUUUACUUUAGAGAGAAUUCACGGUGCCGGACAUUCUGUCAGAAUGGGCCUUACUCAUCCCGUCGACCCUUCUCCUGCUAAGAUUGAUCUCUCGAGUUUGAAUGCCCGAGAUAGGAGAAGGAUCAGAGAAGCAGACAAGAAGGUAAAAGAUCAGAUCUCCCAGAUUGGAAAAAACAAGAAAAAUGCAUCCUCCGCCGGGGACGACAAAAUCUACCAAAAGCUCUUUUAGUUGACGACAGGUCCCUUGAAGGUUCAAAGUCAAUGGCGGUUACCAUAAACAAUGCUCCUCCCUCCACCCUAGCAGCGGACAAUAUGAUCGCUACUACUGCUGAAGAGGAAGGUAUUACAGGCGAUUCUUCUUUCAUGAAGAAGAGGAAGGCUGAGGAACUCGAACCCCCGCUCUAGGGACGACCCAAGAGCACAAGGAAAGACAGAGCCGCUCCUUUGAACUCGUCAAUUCCUGAAUCUGCUGAAGCUCAUGAUGAAAACCCUGAUUCAGGAAUUGUUUUAAAGGAACCACUGAGUUCAGGGAUGCUACCCCCUAGACGUAUUCGAGGUAAUACCUCUAGAGCUCGAUCAUCUCUGAGCUCAUGACUUGUUUCCAUAGCUUCAUCCCAAUCAGGUAACCUUCAAUUAACAUUUUGUUACUUGAGAUUAACCGACCUUUUAGGAGGAUCAAUCCUCACAUAAAUAUCUUUCUUUUAGAUAAAGAGAAGAUUGGAAAUGUUUCACACUCGCUUUGGGAAGAAACUUCCGUCCUUUGAGUGCUGGAGGCCUGACAUCAAGAAGAUGUAUAUCAGUCAUUCAUUCCACUGCUCCCAGGUUUGACUAUUCGAAUCCUUAAACAACCGAUUUUGAAUCCUUUUUUUUUUUUAAUGCAUCUUCUUUUAUCAGGCAACUCUGGAUGUGAACAACAUCAUCAACCAUUACGAAGAGGAGCUUGCCAAAGUUUCCAAGAAACCUACUUUGCUGAAGGAGAGAUCGAGAAACUAUAAUCUUCCAAUCGGCAUGUGCAGGAGACUGCUGGUCUCGACUCGGCUCAUCGGGAAGAAAUCGAGCGACUCGAGAGAUCUGGCGAGGAGACAAAGAAGAAUUUGACUAAGACAGAGCAAAAACUAAAAAUUGUCCUUGCUGAUCAUGACUUUGCGAGAGGUAAGAUCGAGAUUCUGAAAUCAGAGCUCAGUAAGGUCAAAACAGUCGCUGAGGAGCUCGAACGCAAAAAUGAGUCUUUUUCCACACUGAAAGAUCAAAAUGUUCGCAAGAUAUCUCAUGAUGCUCGGAAAGAGGUUAAAGGAGCCGGACAAAAGUUCCUUCUUGCUGUGCAAGAAUUUAUCUUCGCGGACAAAGCUUGGAACAAACUUAAAUCCGAGCUUGAUGAGAUGAAGAGCAAUCUUGAUCUGAUCAAGGAGAUAGAGGAAGGAACAGUCAAUUUGGCCGAAGAAAAGGAGACAGUUAGCGCUGAACUCGCGGAGUUUGCUUCUCAGUUCGCUGAUUCCCCUCCAUUGACCGAACCUAAUACCGGUUUGUCUUUGGAUGAGAUGAUGUUAACUGGUUCUCCCCGUGCUCAUUUUAAUGAGUUCGGAACCAAUGUUGACAGAAUUUCUUUGGGACGAACUCAGGGGUUCCCUGGUCAGGAUCCUGCCAUCUCCUCGAUAAUAGGAGAUGACUUUGAGGAGAGAUAGGCUGAUCAGACCUACUUGCCUUUUUUAAAGAAAAAACAUUAGAAUUUUUCCUCGGUCUCUCGGUUGCGAGGUUAGAGCUCGGCUUACAAGAACACUUCGCGAUACUUCAAAAUGUUUUCGAAAAGAAAACUUUUCAGUGAGAACUGUUUGCCUUUCUUAAAAGACGAAAAAGGUAUGAUACCAUUUAUUGAUUGUCCUUGAAUUUCUCGUUCGAAAUUAAGUUCGCCUACUAGGUGUUAAGUGGUACUUGAAUAACCUAUAUUUCGUAGGUCUUGUUUGUGCAUGUACGCGAAAAUCGAAAGGUUGUAACUGUCAGAUCAGUAGAUUGACGUUUAACUUCCUUUUUCAAUAAAUACUCAAGUGAGUGCUCAUAUAUAUUUUUUCUAUAUAAGGAGAGUUUUGGAAUUUUUCCAAUAAAUAUUUUCUUCGUAAGGAACUUUGCAGUUCUUCUUUUCUAGAUUCCUUAUUUACGAUGGCCUCUCCCCCGGGCGAACCUUCUGAUCCUAAUCCACCACGAUUCCCUUCGAGUGAAUCCCUGUUUCCGACGGGGGAUGGAUUUACUCCACACGGGGUGGCCAUUCCUUGUUUUGUUUCUUCCAUGUCUAAGGAAGGAAAGAUCUAGUGCCAUGAAUUCAUGGAACAGGUUUGACCUCGAUACUAGUUGUUUCAAGGUUUUACCCGAUAGAUUCGUAAUGCAUCUGUUCUUUGAAGAUCACCGAAAGGUACGUUUUCCUCUGCUCCGAAAGGCAACGCCUUGGAAGGAAACGCCAUGUCCUCGAGGACAGGAUUGCUAGAACUAAAAGGAAGAUCCGACGUUUGGAGUCGGAUGUUCAUAAUUGGGAGAGGAGGGGAUUUGACUCUAUCGCUCGCAUUCCCGGCUGCCUUCGAAAACACAUCAGGUUUUUGAAGAAGCAUUGGGAUAUCUACCAGAGGAGCCUCGAACCCGGCGAACGCGAAAGCGGUUCGUCUUCUGACGAAGUUCCUUCUGCGAACUCUCCUCCCUCUUAGUUAUUAUUAUUAUUUUGUAACAGACUAUUGGGCUAAUGGCCCGGCAAUAUUAAUUAUAUUUCCCCUUUUGCUUUAAAUUUGCCGAUUUACUUAAAUCUUAUUUAACGCGUUUAAUCUAGGGAAUAUAAUUAGCGAUUAACUCGAUUACAUUUUCCAUGAAGGUAGUAAUUUCAGAUUUGGGAAAUCGUCAAUUAAUCCUCUUAAAUGUGGUUGAGUAUUUUUCGAUUACAAAGUAGGUGUAGUUCAUUAUUGAAUUUUAUCAACAAUAAUUCUACAAAAAUGUUCGAGGAAAGUAAUUCUUCAGAGAAUCCCUCCGACUCAUUCAAAACGAUAAGCAAUGAUCUUCCGGGAAUGUCAGACAUCGAGCUUGUAAAAGCAGAAGCAACUAGCGAACCAGAAGAGUCACGUACAUUAGGGUGGGGAACCAGCAUUCAGGUUCCGAUCGUGUUAAUCGAGAGAUUAUCAGCUCAAGAUCGUGUCAAGGCUGAAGAGUUUAUUACCAAGGUAUUGUCCAACCUAGUGAUUUUACUCCCUUUGUUAUUACUAAACGAAGCGUCUUAUUUUCCUCAGCUUAUCACUCGACACAACGAGCUCGAAGGUGACAAAAUUGAGAUUAGAAAAAGAAGAAUGGAACUAGAGAAACGUCGCCUCGACAUUGCUCGCAAACUUCAUGGAUCGAGAUACGCAUCCAGGAGUAAGGAAACAUGCUGGGUUGCAUUCUGAGCAUCGUUGACCUCGCAGGCCAAGGAGCAGAUCUAUUCCGUAAUCCAAGACCCUUCUAGAUCUGGUUUUUUGCUUAGGUAAAAAUAUUUAUUUAUACAUUGUUCGCAACGUAUUUAAUAUUUAUGCUAAAUGACCGAGUUUAUUAAAAACAAGACUCCAUGAUUGGAAUAAUAUUUUUAUUUUUAUAGUUGGACUCGUGUUUAGCGAGCUGUCUACGUACCCAAAAUAGGAUCAAGCCAAAUCAUAGUUCGAUAUGUUUGUUUUAGCAAUAGAACUUUUUCAAGUUGAUGAUGUUCCAAGGCCUUUGAACGGGGUUACCGUCAAGGUCUUUUAAACGGUAUACACUAUUUCGGAUUCUUUCUGUGAUUUGAUAAGGGCUUUCCCAGUUAAUACCGAGUUUUCCAGCUCCUUCUUCUUUUGUGUUAUCGAACACUCGCCUUAAAACAAAGUCUCCUACAUUUAAAGGUCUGUUUUUCAACUUUGAGUUAUAGUAUCGAGCGGUCAACUGCUGAUAGUUCUGAUGUCGAAUAAGGGAUUGGUCUCGCCUUUCAUCAAUUCUAUCGAAAACUUCUUCUAAUAACUUAGAAUUUAGUUCUUCGUUAAGUGGAGCUUCGCUCCGGCGUAAACCGGGAACAUUCAGCUCUGCUGGGACUACUGCUUCCAUCCAAUAUACUAACGAGGAUGGAGUUUCUCCCGUUGCUCGCCUUGGGGUUGUUCGAUAUGACCACAACACAAGUUGUAGCUCGUCAUACUAACCACCUUUUCGAGCACUCAAACGUUUUUUAAGAUUGCUGAGAAUGGUUUUAUUGGAAGCUUCCGCUUGCCCAUUUCCUUGAGGAUACCUCGGCGCUGAAUAGCUAAGUUUUAUCCCCCAAGAGGAACAAAAAUCUUCAAAGUCAUUGAAAUGAACUGAGGACCGUUGUCCGUUACAAUUUCGUAAGGAACUCCAUGGCGACAAACAAUGUGUUUCCACAAGAAUGUCUUUACCACAGAAUCUUGUAUGUUUACGUAAGCUUCAGCUUCGAUCCAUUUGGAAAAAUAGUCCGUUAGAACUAAUAAAUAUUGGACACCUCGCGUUGAGCGAUGCAUCAGACCAACUAUAUCCAUUGACCAUCUCAUGAAAGGGUAUGGAGCAGUUAUAGAUGAUAAAAAUUCAGAUGGCUGGUGAAUGAGAGGAGCGUGCAUCUGGCAUUUUUUACAUCGUUUGGCGUAAUCGAUGCAGUCAAAAAUCAUAGUUGGCCAGAAAUAUCAUAACCGUUUGAUUUUAAAAGCCAUUGCUCGUCCCGAAGAAUUACUACCGCAAAGUCCUUCGUGGACAUCGCUUGUAACUUUUUCAACUUCGGGCCCGAAAAUACAAAAAAGAUAAGGGUCACUGACACCUCGCUUGUACAAUGAUUCUUUUACUAUGCAAUACUUAGCGCUGAUGAUUCUCAAUUUGCGAGCUUGCCAUUUGUUCGAUGGUAGUUCUCCAUUAAGAAUGAAAUUUUUGAUGGGUACCCUCCAGUCAGCCCCCCAAUCAUCAGCAGAAGUAUUAUCCUUGAGUAUAAACUUCCUUGAUUCCGGCUCGGAAGGAAUAUCAGGAUUAUUUUCGACUGUUACCAGAACUUUUUCAUUAUUUGCGGUAUCCGGAAGUGACUGUUCAGCUCGAGAUGGUUCUUUAAUGGGAACCUCUUGAUCUUUUAGUUUUCAUCUCGGCUUUGUUUUAGGAAGUUCCGGUUGUGGAGUAAGUUCGUCAUCUUGAGACUUUGUUCGUGAUCUAGUGACAACAAGCGAACUGUUCUUCUUGUCGAAAUUUAAUUCUGGAGCUUCGAUAUGCUCGAGUUCCAAAAUAUUAUCAUUUCCUGUUUCUUCAUCUGAAAUACUUCGUGAAGUAAUACAUUCAACUUGGAAUCACUCGCUUGAGUUCGGGAUCUGAGGGAGAAGCUAGGGCAGCUAAAGCGUCUGCCAAAGUGUUCUCGCCUCGAGGUAUUCGAACCAAUUCCAAUUCUUUGAAUUUUCCGGCUAAAUUUUUGACAGCCGAAAGAUAAGCUUCCAUUCGAGCCUUAGCUUCGUAAUCUCCAACGAACUGGUUUACAACUAGCUGAGAAUCACAAUAAGCUAUUAUUUUUUUUGCUCCAAUUGCAAGAGCAAGCCGAAGUCCUGCUAAGAGAGCUUCGUAUUCCGCUUCAUUGUUCGAAGCCGGGAACAUUAAUCGAAAUGAUUGUUCGAUUAUUUCCUUUUUCGGAGUUUCGAGCCUAAUACUGAUUCCGGAUCCUUGCUUAGAAGAAGAGCUAUCUACAUGUAAUUUUCAUGUGAAGUCUGUUUCGAUAAGGACUCCAUCAUCUAAUGGUAAUUCGGUUAGAAAACCAGCCAGAACUUGUGCUUUUGCGCUAGUUCGACUUUUAUAUUCUAUAUCGUACUCACUGAGUUCGAUUGCCCAUUUCGCCAAUCUACCGGACUGACUUGGUCCGUGAAGAAUUGAGCGAAGUGGAUGAGAAGUUAAAACUUCUAUCGGAUGAGAUUAAAAAUAAUGUCUGAGUUUUGUAGCAGAUACGACUACUGCUAAAGCUAAUUUUUCCAUCAUGGUAUAUCUCGUUUCUGGACUAGUAAGAGAUUUACUUACGUAGAAAAUCGGCUUUUGGUCACCUCGGUCCUCUCGAACUAAAACCCCACUUAAAGAAUGAAUAGAAACUGAAAUGUAAAGAUAAAGUUUCUCAUCUGACUCAGGUUUUGAGAGAACCGGCUUUGUUGUCAGGUAAGUUUUGAGUUGAUCGAAAGCUGCUUCGCAUUGAUCAUCCCACUGAAAUUUUUUGUUCCCUUUUAAAAUUUGAUAAAAAGGGAGACAUUUAUGUGUCGAUUUCGAAAUGAAACGAUUCAGCGCAGCAAUUCUACCCGUCAAUCGUUGGAUUUCUUUGAUGUUUUUUGGUGAAGGCAUUGAAAGGAAAGCGUUAAUCUGAUUGGGAUUCUCCUCUAUUCCUCUUUCUGUGAUUAUGUAACCUAGGAAUUCUCCGGAAGGCACACCAAAAGAACAUUUAGCUGGAUUUAAUUUCAUUCCAAACUCAUUUAAAAUUUGAAACACUGCUCAAGAUGAGUGAUGUGCUCGGAUUUCUUAAGAGACUUCACGAGCAUAUCAUCGAUAUAAAGCCCAAAUGUUUUGCAAACAUUUUGUUAACUAAACGUUUGUAUGUUGCUCCGGCAUUUUUUAAACCGAAUGGCAUAACUUUGUAACAGUAGAUUCCUCUAUCUGUUAUGAAAGAUGUUUUCUCUUCAUCUUCGGGAUUCAUCAUGAUCUGAUUAUAUCCAGAAAAUGCAUCCAUAAAUGAUAAGAGUUCAUUUUCGGCCGUUGAUUCUACAAGCCGAUCAAUAUGAGGGAGAGGAAAGCUGUCUUUCGGACAUGCUUUGUUAAUGUCAGUGAAAUCGACGCAUACUCUCCACUUUUCAUUCUUCUUUUUGACUACCACGGGGUUUGCUAACCAGUCCGGGUACUUUACUUCUCUAAUGGAACCAAUUUUCAAAAGCUUAUCAACUUCGUCAUUGACCGCUUGAGCUCGGUCAGGACCCAGUUUUCUUCUUUUCUGCUUUAUUGGUUUAAAACUGGGAUCGAUAUUUAAUUUAUGGGUAAUGAUACUUGUGUCGAUUCCGGGCAUAUCUUUUGCCGACCAGGCAAAAGUAUUUUUUAUUUUCCUUUAGAAAUGUUACCAAAUGAUCUUUGAUUUCUGAAUCUAAAGUAGUGCCGAUUUUUACUUUUCGAUCUGGAAAUUCGGAAUCAAUUUCCACUUCUGUGUUAACUUCAUUCGAACUGA